CUGGACAGUGGACUUAUCAGGUUCUGAUCUUAUACUUCAAUCAAAUAAUCUUGCUAUCAGAUAUAUUACAUAAAUCCAAACAGUAAAGCUAAAUCACAUCUUUCUUCAUUAUGGCAAAGUUGAUCCAGAUUUAUUUGGCUGUUUAAAUUCCUUCAUAUAAUUACCUUAAUUGAUAAUGUUUUUUUUUGUAUUAAAUGACUGAUUAUGUGGAAGCAGUGAGAUUUCUCUUUGUUCAAGCAAAAGAAUAAUGGAUAUUACUCUUUUAUGAUGAAAGGUUAACUAAUCUGGAGAUGGUUCUUGAUCUCAUAGUGAUCCAUUGGUUGCCUAAAAGUUGAACCGUUACUAGAAUACAGGCAGAUUCGAUCACACCCAUUAUGGCUUGUUGCAGUUUUUGAUGUUACAUAACUAAAUUCUGAUAAUGCAGAAACAAAUAGGAAAGUAGCAUUUUUCUGAAGAAAAAAGGAGUAGAUGUACUGGUAGUAUGGUACUUGCAUUGGUAAAUGAGAGGACCAAAGAUGUAUUACUAAGAAAAUAGGUUAGUAAUGAGGCAAAAAAUAUUUCUCAAUGUUGAUAAGAAGAUUAAAUUCAUGCUGUUGUAAAGAUGCUGUGUCUUGAAAAUUACGAUUUUUUAUUCCAAGAACCCCACAUAUAGCUCUUAAAGGUAGCUUAUGAUGAGUUUCUGAGCUGGCAUAAAUGAAUUUCCCCAAUCCAGCAUUGGUUGGACCAAUCUCUCUCUAAGUUAAACACCAGUUUCAUUUUUCCUCAUUAGAUAGGUCAUGGGUUCAAUCCUCAUAAACUAAGUUUGAGAACAGGCUGUAGUUUCCCUAAUUUGCCUUUUAUUGCUUGUGGGCCUUCCAAAAGACAAGUGUGCCAGGCAGACAGAUAUUGGCCAAUAAAAUAGUGGGAUUAUAUCUUAUCUUUGCCAAGUUCAGAAUUAGUAUAUUUCCAUUUUUGUAUCUUGAACUACCAGUAUGUAUUACUUCUUGACAUGUUACCCUAUUUUUCAGGUGGGAGUUGAAGGGGAGUACAUUGGACUUGAUAAAAUAAGUCUUGCAAAUAGUUCACUAUGGAUUCAGGGAAAUCGUUUACCGGUUAAUCGGAGUUUGAUAUGGUACAAGGUAAGUGGAUGUAGGUAAUUCAUUCUUCGGAAACUUGAAUCAGAAUCCAAUAAAAGCAUUUAGUUUCUUAUUGGAUGCAUGUUCCAUCAAGUUAAAUUAUUUAUUCUGUGUACAAUAAAAUUUUGUCCUAAAGGAUCACAAAUCUUUUCUGUGGCUCACUCAGCUUACACCUAGCACAGAUGACCUGUAACACCAGAAUGCACCCUUGUCUCUGUUACACAUGCCAGUUCAAAUUGAAGGGGCUAAAACCCUGAAAAUUCCACUUUCAUGUUACCUUGAAAUAUAUGGUUGGAUCUACCAAAUUUUUUUUCCUUUUUCUCUUUUCAGAAGAUGGAGUGUUCUUGACAUGUAGAUGUUGAAAAUUCGGUGCAAGUAUAUGCUUGAAAUCUUUAAGGGAAUUUAGUGGACAUAACUUUUGUGAUAGAUGACUAUAUGAAGUGUAAAUGAUAGUUAAGAAUGAGAUUGACCCUUGUACUUUUCUCCUUGUUUGUUUUAUGUAAUUUUCUUUCAUUGUCAAAGCAUAAGGUUAUUGAAUCCUGAUUUAUGGUCUUCAAUUUUGUCUCUUUAUUAGGCAUUAAUAUAUCCAUCAAAACCAAACUAUAUUCUUGAGUUAUAAAAUUUGAAGUGGAUGUGGAAGCACCUAAUCUCAUUUUUGACAUGUUCUUGUACCCUUCAACUUUCUCCUAAUCUGAGUGAACUAAUAGUGAAUUAUAUAGAUAAACUAAUGGAAAAAUGUGGCUAAAGUCAAUCAAGUUCCUUGCAGCCUAGCAGGUAGCCCACUCCGGUAAACCCUUGAGGUAGCAAGAACUGCUCCAAUCCAAAAGUCUUAUCUAGAAUCAGGACCUAUCAUUGCAUUGAAAUAAAUAUGCCCCCACACAUGCGCAUAUCUGAAGCAUU
rnacentral:lncRNA from 1 species